rnacentral:tRNA from 3 species
GGUGGGGUUCCCGAGCGGCCAAAGGGAGCAGACUGUAAAUCUGCCGUCAUCGACUUCGAAGAUUCGAAUCCUUCCCCCACCACCA